UAUAUAUUCCCUCCGUCUCAAAAUUUUUGUCUUAAAUUUAUCUAGAUACGAAUAUAUCUAACACUAAAAUAUGAAUAGAUACAACUGUAUAUAGAAAAAUUGAAGACAAGAAUUUUGAGACGGAGGGAGUAGAUG
rfam:Triticum urartu cultivar G1812 contig756283, whole genome shotgun sequence.